UCCCUGGAGGACUAGGGGUUAGGCAACAGUGCUCUCAUCGCCGCAGAGCGGGUUCGAUUCCCGGCCAGGGAA
rnacentral:tRNA from 1 species